rnacentral:rRNA from 1 species
CAAUGGGCGAAAGCCUGACGGAGCAAUACCGCGUGAGUCAGGGAAGAAAAAAAUGACGGUACCUGAGGAAUAAGCAUCGGCUAACUCCGUGCCAGCAGCCGCGGUAAUACGGAGGAUGCAAGCGUUAUCCGGAAUGAUUGGGCGUAAAGCGUCCGCAGGUGGCAAUGUAAGUCUGCUGUUAAAGAGUCUAGCUCAACUAGAUAAAGGCAGUGGAAACUACAUAGCUAGAGUGCGUUCGGGGUAGAGGGAAUUCCUGGUGUAGCGGUGAAAUGCGUAGAUAUCAGGAAGAACACCGGUGGCGAAGGCGCUCUACUAGGCCGCAACUGACACUGAGGGACGAAAGCUAGGGGAGCGAAUGGGAUUAGAUACCCCAGUAGUCCUAGCCGUAAACGAUGGAUACUAGGCGUGGCUUGUAUCGACCCGAGCCGUGCCGGAGCUAACGCGUUAAGUAUCCCGCCUGGGGAGUACGCACGCAAGUGUGAAACUCAAAGGAAUUGACGGGGGCCCGCACAAGCGGUGGAGUAUGUGGUUUAAUUCGAUGCAACGCGAAGAACCUUACCAAGGCUUGACAUGUCGCGAAUUUCGGUGAAAGCUGAAAGUGCCUUAGGGAGCGCGAACACAGGUGGUGCAUGGCUGUCGUCAGCUCGUGUCGUGAGAUGUUGGGUUAAGUCCCGCAACGAGCGCAACCCUCGUUUCUAGUUGCCAGCAAUAAGAUGGGAACUCUAGAGAGACUGCCGGUGACAAACCGGAGGAAGGUGGGGAUGACGUCAAGUCAGCAUGCCCCUUACGCCUUGGGCUACACACGUACUACAAUGCUACGGACAAAGGGCAGCUACACAGCGAUGUGAUGCAAAUCUCGUAAACCGUAGCUCAGUUCAGAUCGAAGGCUGCAACUCGCCUUCGUGAAGGAGGAAUCGCUAGUAAUUGCAGGUCAGCAUACUGCAGUGAAUUCGUUCCCGGGCCUUGUACACACCGCCCGUCACACCAUGGAAGUCGGUCACGCCCGAAGUCAUUACCCC